rnacentral:rRNA from 1 species
AUACGGAGGGUGCAAGCGUUAUCCGGAAUCAUUGGGUUUAAAGGGUCUGUAGGCGGGCUAUUAAGUCAGAGGUGAAAUCCCACAGCUCAACUGUGGAACUGCCUUUGAUACUGAUAGUCUUGAGUUACAGUGAAGUAGAUAGAAUAUGUAGUGUAGCGGUGAAAUGCAUAGAUAUUACAUAGAAUACCGAUUGCGAAGGCAGUCUACUAACUGUAUACUGACGCUGAUGGACGAAAGCGUGGGGAGCGAACAGGAUUAGAAACCCUAGUAGUCC